CACCUGGGUACUAAUGAGUGAGUAAUUAGGCUCUGGCACAUGCACAAACAGCCACACCUCGCUCCUUAGGACCCCAGCCACCAUAUGCUGCACCAGUUGGGAGCUAAACUUGCCAAGACCAAGAAGAGAAGAAAGAGAAAAGUGGUGAAAACUGACCCCAGCACAGCGAAGACAUGGUGGAAAUGUUUGAGCUAAAGACUUUAGAGAGAAAGCCCUCGUUCAACCACUUUCAGGAGCGUGUCAAAUCAGCAGAUGCCAGCCAAAUGUUGCUCUUGACAAGUGCAAGUCAUUUCUGGGUCACAUUUGGGCCAUUUGUGGGAAAGAGAGAACACACACAUACUCAAAUUUGCUUAACCAUCUGCUCCUGGUGCCUGUCGUGGUGUAACAUUACCUCAAGCAAACUUUCCUGGAAAGACAGCAAUGGAGUCUACAUUAAUUUGGUCCAUUUGAUUUUACUAGUGGUGUUUACUUGAGUUAAUGUAUAAAUAACUUAAUGCACUUUUUAUUUGACUUGAGUAAAAGUAAAAAAAAAAAGUACCUGUUUAAUGUACUUACAUAAUUACAUUAUCUACAGAUUAAGAGACCAUGGUUUAUGCAUUGAUUUAAUAAAUUACGGCUUGUAAUUUCAUAUGAACCUAUAUUGCACAAAAUAUCUAUUUUGGGAAUAAAGUCCUAGAGACAGAUUUGGGAUAUUGCUGUAAGUUUGAGCUCAUGCUGACAUUAUUAUAAAUUAUUGUUAAUCGUCAGCUAGUUUUCAGCAUUCCCAGCAGGCACAUUAUGUCAAUAUAAAGGCAGGUUGAUGUUGGACAUGACGUCGGAAGUUGCAUUUAUGUUGAGAAUAAUGUUCUCAGCUCUAAACCAAAAGCUCUAAAAUACUGCCUUCGGAGGCAGCAUUCCAAGGCGGGAGGGAGGGCAUCAAGCUAUAUCCAAAUCCAAAAAGUUCUGCUUUACUUUCUGUGUCCGGAGGUACCUUCUUCUGAUUGAAUUUUGAAGGUAGCAUAGAUGUACCCUUUCCUGCCUUUGAUAUCCCACAAUCAUGUGUUCCAUUGAUGGUUUAGCCAAAAAAAAAUAAUAUAA